GACGAACGCUGGCGGCGUGCUUACCACAUGCAAGUCGAACGAAGUGGCGAACGGGUGAGUAACGAGUAAUCAACCUGCCCUUCAGAGGGGGACAACAGUUGGAAACGACUGCUAAUACCGCAUAAUGAAGGAGGGGAUUGCGUCUGAUGAGCUAGUAGGAGGGGUAACGGCCCACCAAGGCGAUGACCAGUAGCCGGUCUGAGGUGGUGAACGACCACAUUGGGACGGAGACACGGCCCAGACUCCUACGGGAGGCAGCAGUGGGGAAUCUUCCGAAAUGGACGAAAGUCUGACGGAGAAACGCCGCGUGAGUGAUGACGGCCUUCGGGUUGUAAAGCUCUGUUAAUCGGGACGCGGUACCGGAAUAGAAAGCCACGGCUAACUACGUGCCAGCAGCCGCGGUAAUAC
rnacentral:rRNA from 1 species